rnacentral:rRNA from 1 species
UACGGAGGGUGCAAGCGUUAUCCGGAUUUAUUGGGUUUAAAGGGUGCGUAGGCGGAAUUGUAAGUCAGUGGUGAAAGCCCUUCGCUUAACGAAGGAACUGCCAUUGAUACUGCAAAUCUUGAGUACAUUUGAUGAGGGCGGAAUGUGUCAUGUAGCGGUGAAAUGCUUAGAUAUGACACAGAACACCGAUUGCGAAGGCAGCUCUCAAAACUGUAACUGACGCUGAGGCACGAAAGCGUGGGUAUCAAACAGG